UCGGGAAUUUUGGGCAAUGGGCGAAAGCCUGACCCAGCAACGCCGCGUGAGGGAUGAAGUAUUUCGGUAUGUAAACCUCGAAAGAAUGGGAAGAAUAAAUGACGGUACCAUUUAUAAGCUCCGGCUAACUACGUGCCAGCAGCCGCGGUAAUACGUAGGGAGCAAGCGUUGUUCGGAUUUACUGGGCGUAAAGGGCGCGUAGGCGGCGCGGUAAGUCACUUGUGAAAUCUCUGAGCUUAACUCAGAACGGCCAAGUGAUACUGCUGGGCUAGAGUGCGGAAGAGGCAACCGGAAUUCUUGGCGUAGCGGUGAAAUGCGUAGAUAUCAAGAGGAACACCUGAGGCGAAGGCGGGUUGCUGGGCCGACACUGACGCUGAUGCGCGAAAGCCAGGGGAGCAAACG
rnacentral:rRNA from 1 species